rnacentral:rRNA from 1 species
AGAGUCUGUAGCCGGGUUUGUAAGUCUGUUUUCAAAUCCUAUGGCUUAACCAUAGAGAGGGAAUGGAUACUGCAAACCUUGAGAUUAUUGGGGGUUGAUGGAAUUUCCGGUGGANCGGUGAAAUGCGUUGAUAUCGGAAGGAACGCCAAAAGUGAAAGCAGUCAACUACAAUAAAUCUGACGGUCAGAGACGAAAGCUUGGGGAGCAAACGGGAUUAGAUACCCCGGUAGUCCAAGCCGUAAAUUAUGCAUGCUAGGUGUCUUGUUCACUUUAUGUGAGCGGGGUGCCGUAAUCUAACGAGUUAAGCAUGCCGCCUGGGUAGUAUAUUCGCAAGAAUGAAACUCAAAGGGAUAGGCGGGGGAACACACAAGCAGUGGAUUGUCUCGAUUAAUUGGAUAAUAAGCCAAGAAUCUUACCUAGACUUGACAUAUAUUGUGUCCUACGUGAAAGUGUAGUAAUCCCGAUUUUGUCGGGAUACGAUAUACAGGUGGUGCAUGGUCGUCGUCAGCUCGUGCCGCAAGAUGUCCAGUUAAGUCUGGGAACGAGCGCAACCCUCGUUGUUAGUUAGAAUGUCUAACAAGACUGCUCCGGCAACGGAGAGGAAGGAGAGGAUGACGUCAGAUCAUCAUGCCCCUUACGUCUAGGGCUUCAUAGACAAUACAAUGGAUAGUACAGCGAGAAGCGAUGCCGCGAGGCUAAGCAAAUCUCACAAAGCUAUCCCUAGUUCGGAUUGCAGUCUGGAACUCGACUGCAUGAAGUCGGAAUUGCUAGUAAUGGCGGGUCAGCAUACCGCCGUGAAUAUGUCCCUGUUCCUUGCACUCACCGCCCGUCAAACCAUGGGAGUUGAG